CCUCCUAGAGACCUGCCCUGCUGAGGACGCCCUUCCAGCCCAGGAGAGCUCGCCACUUGGGAGCCUUGGCGCCCAGCUGGCGCCCACCCCGGGGUACAUUGCAGUAAAUGCCUGGCAGUAGUGAUUUCUCGCUUCUCCCUCCGCUUCGCUCAUCGACCCUCCACUGCCAACCUUUACGCCAAACUCCGGCACGCUGAGAGACUCGCGUCCGCGCCAUCCACGCGGGGCCCCACCCCUUCCCGGCUCCAGCCCGCGUUCGGCCGGAGGCAGGCGAGGGUAGGUCGAUUUCCUGCCGGGAAUUUGCUGCUGUCUUCUCCUCUUUACUCCAAUUCUCGUGCUGGGCUGUGUGGAGCGUGGCUGCCAGCGUAGGGAAGAUCCGGAGCUCGGACACCCGCUCGCGCUCAUCGGAGUGGCUGACCCCGGAGACACGCUCGGUGGAGAGGAAGGCAGACCUGGGCCAGAGUGGAGGUGGGGGUCGCCUGCUGUUGGGGGUGGGCGCACCGGCCGCCAGCUCUCCGCAUGCUCUUCUCCUUCCAGUUCUCGCAGCCACCACCUUGCACCGGUCGGAAGACCCUCCUUCCCUUGGCUCCUUUGCGUCGGGAAGAGGGCAAAGUGAAUGGGAAGAUGGAGAUGGAUGUUGAGGGAGUUUCUCCGCGCCCGGAGCCCAUCCCCCGUCCCCAGGGGGCUGGCGGAGCCUGCCAGGCGCCGCCACAGCAGCCCCAGCCCCAGCCCCAGCCGCAGCAGCAGCAGCUGGCUCAGGAUGAACUGCCCAGCGAGAGUGCAGGCGCUGAGGACAGCGACGAUCCCAAGGCGAGACCCAACGGCGAGAAAGGAGAGAGCAAGUAUUUCGGUGACAAGAUCCACUGAGGAGAGUUGGGGCGAGGCUGGCUGAGGUUGUCAAGGAGCUGUUUUGAGCUCAGGGGCCCGCAUGGCAAUGGAAUGAUGCUUCCUGACCUUCCAGACCUUUGAGACCUCUGGGUGGUCUUAGAAAUCACCUCAAGCCUUCGGUCGAGAAUACAAGCACCUGGGGAAAUUUCCAGGGAAAGGUAGCAGAGGUAUCAUGGACCGAAAAGUGGUGCGGUACUCCAAAGAGCUCACUACCAGCUCUCAAAGAUUCCAAGCCGCCGGCUGCUCUAAAGUAGAAGGCCACCACUCUGGAGAGGCAGCAGGAAACAAGCCUGGAGGAGGCUGUGUUUUGGCCAAAGCACACACUACCUUCUCUACUGUCCUGGGGAACUGCUGAAGGACACAGAGGAAGAUGCUGCCACUCCCUGGGACAGAAACACAGCAGCUGGGACCGAGAAGCACCUCCUGCGGAACUAGGGGCAGCAGCCCUUCCGAUGAAGCUCUCUGAGCUGUCGUUCCCACUGGACUGUUUUUGCUUUGCCGUCAUCUGCAUGCCACACAGUUCUGGAUGUUUUUGAUUAGUUGGCUUUCUUUCUUAUUUUUUCCCCUUGUCUUUUCUUUUUCUUCUCUUGGCCCUGGGAAUUGUAAGAAAAGAAUUGCUUUAGAAAGUAUAAUUGUUGCUGACAUUAGCCUUGUUUAUGAGCAAAUUCUGUCCCUGGGGAUUUGCUGCUUUGUAAUCCCAGGUUACCUAGUAAAUGGGGCUGCAUGGUGUGAUUUGUGUAGUACCUAGAUUAAAAAUACAUUUUCUUUCUUGCUUUCUUUUUUUUUUUAAAGUUUGAAUUCAGGUGAUGUCCCGAAUCACAUUUGCCUCGCUACUGAAGCGAUCUCAAUGUGGUGUCGCUUGUAUGUGAAAUAUAAUCAAACCUAUAUUAUACCAGGGGCUCUUGCACACUAUUUAUAUAUAUAUAUAUGUUAUGCUACAAACAAACACAGACCUAAUAGGUUAAAAUUUAAUCCCUGCCUGAUCCUGCAGCUAGAAUGGGGGGGGGGGGGCAGGAAUUAUACACAU